AUUAACAAGGUACUACAGAGGACAGGUGAUUGGAUAAACUCAAAACACGAGUUUCACCACUUAUACAGAAAGUAGAGAUGGGACGUUUGAUACGGAGACUCCGAAGCCUGUUUCACUCUGUUGAAGCAGACUGAUUCGAAACGCUGUGUGGAGGCUUGUAUCAAAUCUCCGUAAUCACGUGACCGAUGACGUUUGAAGCUUCAUACGUCACAACGAAACACCGGAAGUGAGGUGGCUGAUUCGAAACUUUGGCGCUGCUUCACUCAUUAUAAGGAGACGCGAAAUGCCCAGUGUCCCCCCCCCCCGCUUCAUAGCGUUCUGAGAGACCUUUGAUAGCGAGCCGAGAGUACUUUGAUGAUGGAGAAUCCGAGUGGAAGGAAACGAUCCCGUGUAUGGGAACACUUCGACCUUGUGUCACCCACAAAGGUUCAGUGCCUCAUAUGCUCACGGGAGCUGGUAUAUGGGAAUAACACCUCCUCUAUGUUGCGGCAUCUUCGUGCUAAGCAUGAGCAUGCAGCAACUUCACAACCGAGCACCUCAACUGAACCUCACCCUGCUGACCCUUCUGCGUCCAGGAAGCAACAGUUGGAUGAGGCCUUGCUGAACCUUCUAGUUAUAGAUGCACAGCCACUGUCUGUGGUCGAAAAUGAAGGCUUUAGGGCAGGCAUGUCAAACUCAGUUUGGCUCUGGGGCCGGAUCCAGACUUUCUGUUCUCAGGUGGGCCGGAUCAGUAAAAGAAU